rnacentral:rRNA from 1 species
GAUGAACGCUGGCGGCGUGCCUAAUACAUGCAAGUCGAGCGAACGGACGAGAAGCUUGCUUCUCUGAUGUUAGCGGCGGACGGGUGAGUAACACGUGGAUAACCUACCUAUAAGACUGGGAUAACUUCGGGAAACCGGAGCUAAUACCGGAUAAUAUUUUGAACCGCAUGGUUCAAAAGUGAAAGACGGUCUUGCUGUCACUUAUAGAUGGAUCCGCGCUGCAUUAGCUAGUUGGUAAGGUAACGGCUUACCAAGGCAACGAUGCAUAGCCGACCUGAGAGGGUGAUCGGCCACACUGGAACUGAGACACGGUCCAGACUCCUACGGGAGGCAGCAGUAGGGAAUCUUCCGCAAUGGGCGAAAGCCUGACGGAGCAACGCCGCGUGAGUGAUGAAGGUCUUCGGAUCGUAAAACUCUGUUAUUAGGGAAGAACAUAUGUGUAAGUAACUGUGCACAUCUUGACGGUACCCUAUCAGAAGGCCACGGCUAACUACGUGCCAGCAGCCGCGGUAAUACGUAGGUGGGCAGCGUUAUCCGAANUUAUUGGGCGUAAAGCGCGCGUAGGGCGGUUUUUUAGUCUGAUGUGAAAGCCCACGGCUCAACCGUGGAGGGUCAUUGGAAACUGGAAAACUUGAGUGCAGAAGAGGAAAGUGGAAUUCCAUGUGUAGCGGUGAAAUGCGCAGAGAUAUGGAGGAACACCAGUGGCGAAGGCGACUUUCUGGUCUGUAACUGACGCUGAUGUGCGAAAGCGUGGGGAUCAAACAGGAUUAGAUACCCUGGUAGUCCACGCCGUAAACGAUGAGUGCUAAGUGUUAGGGGGUUUCCGCCCCUUAGUGCUGCAGCUAACGCAUUAAGCACUCCGCCUGGGGAGUACGACCGCAGGGUUGAAACUCAAAGGAAUUGACGGGGACCCGCACAAGCGGUGGAGCAUGUGGUUUAAUUCGAAGCAACGCGAAGAACCUUACCAAAUCUUGACAUCCUUUGACAACUCUAGAGAGCCUUCCCCUUCGGGGGACAAAGUGACAGGUGGUGCAUGGUUGUCGUCAGCUCGUGUCGUGAGAUGUUGGGUUAAGUCCCGCAACGAGCGCAACCCUUAAGCUUAGUUGCCAUCAUUAAGUUGGGCACUCUAAGUUGACUGCCGGUGACAAACCGGAAGAAAGUGGGGAUGACGUCAAAUCAUCAUGCCCCUUAUGAUUUGGGCUACACACGUGCUACAAUGGGACAUACAAAGGGCAGCGAAACCGCGAGGGUCAAGCAAAUCCCAUAAAGUUGUUCUCAGUUCGGAUUGUAGUCUGCAACUCGACUACAUGAAGCUGGAAUCGCUAGUAAUCGUAAAUCAGCAUGCUACGGUGAAUACUUCCCCGGGUCU